AACUGCAAGUUGACACAGCCUUUUCUAUGCCAGAUUUUCAGUGCUCUAAUAACAGAUAUCAUCAAAAGGGAAGGGAACUCAUAGGGCUGUAGCAUUUCAGACACAGGAGACUGAGAAUCAAGAUUUUGGAUACAAAUAAUAUUGAACUUUACAGGCAAAGGUACCUUAAGAGAUAUGUGUAAGCUACAGUGAAACCCUUAGUGCUGUUUUAAAAAGGGCUGAGACCAAGACACAGUGAGAAACCGGCAGCACUAAACCCUGCAUGUGUUGUCCAUGAACUUCUAAAGCACCACAGCCAUAGAGGAAAGGGGAAAACUAGUUUCAUUUUGAAAUCCUGGUCUGUAAAACCUUUUAUAUAGCAGCGUGCCAGGAGAGAAAAUAUAAUCUGAAGAGGAUGUUUUAGAAGCAAUUUCACUUUCCCCACUUCAGCAGCUCUGGAGUGCUGGAGGGAGGAUGCUGCAGGAAGAAGGAUAACCCUGGUGCCAUGGUGCUGCCUGGCAUUUUCCUAUCAGCAUCAGGCUGAACACAAGCUUGGAGUGCACACUGAACUCUGCAUGGCCAUUCUGGACCAACAAAUUAAAGGCAGUGGCCAAGA